GCGUGAAGUAAUGUGAAUUGCAGGACACAUUGAACAUCGAUAUCUUGAACGCAUAUUGCGGCCUCGGGUAUUCCCGAGGCCACGCCUGUCUCAGGGUCGGUUGAACGUAUCUAUCGCGAGUUGUCUCUUGCUCGCGCGGUGGAUCGUCGCGGCACGCCGUCCGCAAGUCUGCGGUGGCGAGUCACGUCGUCCGAAAUUCAGACGGUUUGCACAUGGCGAAACCGCACGUCUCGAUUCCGACGAACACAGUACGCGGGACGGUUGCUCGGAUGCAUUAUCUUUGCUGUACCGUCGUCGCCGUGCUCGUUCGUUGGAUGUGUGCGAAAGUAGUCGUGCUCACGAAGUAUCGAUCGAUAGACUGACUCUUCGCGGAGUUGUCUUCAUCGUCUUCGACCUGAGAUCAGACGAGAUUACCCGCUGAAU
rnacentral:misc_RNA from 1 species